GCCGGUUCGCCGGCUAUGGAAAUAAAUGACCGUCGCAAUAAACCAUUCGGACCCGGGGGCGGUACCCGGCGCCUCCACCA
rnacentral:tmRNA from 1 species